rnacentral:rRNA from 1 species
GACGUAGGGGGCGAGCGUUGUCCGGAUUUAUUGGGCGUAAAGAGCGCGUAGGCGGCCCGGAAAGUCGGAUGUGAAAGCCCACGGCUCAACCGUGGAAGGUCAUUGGAAACUGAAAGGCUUGAGUACAGAAGAGGAAAGCGGAAUUCCACGUGUAGCGGUGAAAUGCGUAGAGAUGUGGAGGAACACCAGUGGCGAAGGCGGCUUUCUGGUCUGUAACUGACGCUGAGGCGCGAAAGCGUGGGAAGCAAACAGG